rnacentral:lncRNA from 1 species
GCGGCGACCGUGGAGACGCUGAUUUUGGUAGAGGUGAGCAGGGGCUCCCUGCACCGCACAGCAGCUCCCUGGGGCAUGCAAAGGCAGCAAAUGCCUGGUGCCAGGGAGAGCACGGCACGGCAGACUGUCCCUGCGGUCACGUGCAGACCCCUUGUGCCGCACRGGGGCUGCUCGGGAUCAAGGGAGCAGCCUGCAACUGUGCAGGGGGCUGGGGGCUGCAGGGCCGCUUCGGGGGCGCUGGCUGCAGCAGCAGCCUUUGCCACAGCCCCCGUGGCACAGAGGCACAGCGUCAGGCCUGCACCUCCAGCCUCUCCUCCRCAGCCCUUGGACCACCCCCGCUUUUCCUGGCAGCCUCUCCCACAUGCCUGCAUUGCUGCAGCAACAUCGCUGGAGCAGCUCCCUCGAGGCCCCCACUGAGGAGGGGCGGCUCUGUAACCAUCAGCCCUUUCUCACAGGCUGACGCCAAGAAAGGCCCCCGCUUGGACCCUUCCGACGGCGAAGAGGCACUUGGCCACUCGGCUGCAGAGGGAGCGAAGGCAAGGCGGCAGGUGAUCUCCUGGCCACUUGCUCGGCGAGGAACCUCUGCCAGCAGGGCCUGCCCUGUCCCAGGGCAGCUCGCCUCUGGCCCCAGGGCGGCUCUCUUUGGCCRGCCUCUGGCAGCUCUCUGCGGGCAAGACGGGGGCCUGCCCCAGCCAGUCCAGGAGCUCCUGGCUAUACUGUAUGAGAAAGGGCCUGCCACCGAGGGCAUCUUCAGGWAGGCGGCGAGCGAGAAGGCCUGCAAGGAGCUGAAGGCGGUCCUAAACCAGGGCAAGAGCGCUGACCUGGACAGCAGACCCAUGCACCUCCUGGCAGUGGUGCUGAAGGHGAAUUCCUUGCACCAGCAGAGCACACGGCUCUCCGAGCAUGUGCCUCAUGUGUAUGGGCCCCUGGCAGUGCCUCUACUCCCCUCGGUGGCACUCCAAGCUAAAAGCCUACUGAAGCCAGACUCCGGGCUUCAGGCUCAGGACACUGUGGCACUUUUCUUCCCCCUCAGAUUGUCAGCUGCCCUAGUUCUGCCCCUGAUUCCCUGCAUGACCAUGGGAAACUCCCUUCCUC